UACGAGAGGCGCAAACGUUAUUCGGAUUUACUGGGCUUAAAGAGUUCGUAGGCGGCGCAGAAAGUAGGGUGUGAAAGCCCUCGGCUUAACCGAGGAAUUGCGCUCUAAACUACUGUGCUUGAGGGACCUAGAGGUGAGCGGAACUGAUGGUGGAGCGGUGAAAUGCGUUGAUAUCAUCAGGAACACCGGAGGCGAAGGCGGCUCACUGGGGGUCUUCUGACGCUGAGGAACGAAAGCCAGGGGAGCGAACGGG
rnacentral:rRNA from 1 species